AUACGGAGGGUGCAAGCGUUAUUCGGAGUCACUGGGCGUAAAGGACGCGUAGGCGGGUUGGCAAGUCAGAUGUGAAAUCCUACAGCUUAACUGUAGAACUGCAUUUGAAACUGCUAACCUAGAGUAUGGGAGGGGGAGAUGGAAUUAGUGGUGUAGGCGUAAAAUCCGUAGAUAUCACUAGGAAUACCGAAAGCGAAGGCGAUCUCCUGGAACAUAACUGACGCUAAGGCGUGAAAGCGUGGGGAGCAAACAGGAGUAGAAACCCUAGUAGUCC
rnacentral:rRNA from 1 species